GGAAACAGUAGAAACUGUCAAAUACAUUCCUAAAAAAUCAGCCAAACAGGCCAAUAAGACGGGGGGAAAAAAAGUAGGAGUAAUAUCAAUGGCUCAAGUUGAUGUAGAUCUCAAGGGAAUAAUUUUGUAAGACAGGUGUUUGUUUAACCUGUAGGAAACCUGAGACCUCCAGAGUGCUGUCAAGCAGUCUAAUUGUUUCAGAGUCAGAUUUAAAGUGAAGCUCUGACUGCACUGGCAUACAAGUUUAACAGAAGGUCGUACACAUGCUGUAUGUGGCCAAUGCUGGGAACUAAGGAAUCGACCUGGCUAAUCGGGGCUCUGGUACCUGAUAGUGGAUGACUGACUAUAAAAAUCAAGAUUCAGCUUACUCCCUGAGGCCUGCUGUACCGCCAGAUCAAAGUGCUUACACUUGGCAACCUGAAAAUCAAAUACCAUUGCUGUCACUUCAAAAACGUGUGAAACAGAAGCCUGGGACAAUGAUCCUUGUAAGUUAGACAGUAUUCCUUAAAAAAAGAGAUACAGAAAACUUCAAA